rnacentral:rRNA from 1 species
GUGAGGAAUAUUGGUCAAUGGGCGGGAGCCUGAACCAGCCAAAUCGCGUGAAGGAUGAAGGUAUUAUGUAUUGUAAACUUCUUUUAUCGGGGAAUAAAGUGCAUCACGUGUGGUGUUUUGUAAGUACCCGAAGAAUAAGGAUCGGCUAACUCCGUGCCAGCAGCCGCGGUAAUACGGAGGAUCCGAGCGUUAUCCGGAUUUAUUGGGUUUAAAGGGUGCGUAGGCGGACUAUCAAGUCAGCGGUGAAAGUUCAUGGCUCAAACAUGGAAUUGCCGUUGAAACUGAUGGUCUUGAUUGUAGAUGAGGUAGGCGGAAUUCGUUGUGUAGCGGUGAAAUGCAUAGAUAUCACGAAGAACACCGAUUGCGUAGGCAGCUUACCAAGCUACAACUGACGCUGAGGCACGAAGGUGCGGGGAUCAAACAGGAUUAGAAACCCUGGUAGUCC